GGCUGAAAGCAAUGAUCUUGCCAGUCAUCCUUUCACGUAUUCAUUAUGGUCUACAGCUGAGAAGGGCUGUUUGGGGUUUGCUUUGCCUGAUGGUAGCAGAAGAAAACCAAGAGGCCUCUCUACGAAAGCUUGCAGUAAGGAGAAAGUUCUGGAGACUGGGAAGAGCAAUACAAAGAUAUUCAGUUGCUUGGUGAGAGCUGCUCUCUGCUUCCAAGGUGGCACCUUGUUGCUGCAUCCUCCAAUGGGAAGGAACGCUGGGUCCUCACAUGACAGAAGGUGGAAAGCGGCAGCUGCUAGCAGGCAAAUGUUGGUAAUGGAAGCUUCAUCUUAUGAAAAAAAAGAUAAUUAAUAUUGACUGAGAACGAUUUACAUCUUUCAUAGAAAGUACUCUCAAAACCGUAGAACUGGCCAAGCACAGUGGCUCAUGCUUGUAAUCCCAGCACUUUGGGAGGCCGAGAUGACAGAAAUGAAGUCUUUAAGGGUGUGGACCCUACACUAAGACCAUCUGGAUUAGGAUUUGCAAGUCCACCUCCUACUAUGGGAGAGUCAGAAUGUAACUGCUGUUAGAGUUCAGAGCCUUGAUGACUUUGGAGUUAGACAGACUUUUGUUCAAAUCUGAGCUCUACUAAUUAAUAGCUGUGCAUUCUCGGAUAAGUCUGUUAACUUCUCUGAGGCAAGGACUAAGAGUUCAAGGGGAAACUUUGUGGAAGGAAUAGAUGUGGAAGACCUAAAAUAUGGAAGGGAGUUUACCAAGAUAUCGAUACUCUAAGUCUGCAUUUGAUAACAUACAGUUAGGUG
rnacentral:lncRNA from 1 species